UACGUAGGUGGCAAGCGUUAUCCGGAAUUAUUGGGCGUAAAGAGCGCGCAGGUGGUUGAUUAAGUCUGAUGUGAAAGCCCACGGCUUAACCGUGGAGGGUCAUUGGAAACUGGUCAACUUGAGUGCAGAAGAGGGAAGUGGAAUUCCACGUGUAGCGGUGAAAUGCGUAGAGAUGUGGAGGAACACCAGUGGCGAAGGCGGCUUUCUGGUCUGUAACUGACGCUGAGGCGCGAAAGCGUGGGGAGCAAACAGG
rnacentral:rRNA from 1 species